rnacentral:rRNA from 1 species
AGAGUUUGAUCAUGGCUCAGGAUGAACGCUGGCGGCGUGCCUAAUACAUGCAAGUCGAACGAGGUGCUUUUGUAGCAAUACGAGAGUAUCCUAGUGGCGAACGGGUGAGUAACGCGUUGGUGACCUACCCCAAAGUGUGGGAUAACAGUCCGAAAGGAUUGCUAAUACCGCAUGUGGUCUUCGGAUUUAGAAACUGAUGACUAAAGGAGCAAUUCGCUUUGGGAGGGACCUGCGUCCCAUCAGCUAGUUGGUGAGGUAAUGGCUCACCAAGGCUACGACGGGUAGGGGACCUGAGAGGGUGACCCCCCACAAUGGAACUGAAACACGGUCCAUACACCUACGGGUGGCAGCAGUAGGGAAUAUUGCACAAUGGGCGAAAGCCUGAUGCAGCAACGCCGCGUGUGCGAUGAAGGCCUUCGGGUCGUAAAGCACUUUUCUGAGAGAUGAGAAAGGACAGUAUCUCAGGAAUAAGUCUCGGCUAACUACGUGCCAGCAGCCGCGGUAAUAC